rnacentral:snRNA from 1 species
GGACGUGAGGUUGAUCUGGCUGAGAAAUCUGUUACCCCUUUGAAAGCCAGGGUUGAUUUGGCUGAUGUGGCUAGCUAGGCAGGUGCCUCUUCAUCUUUCACCACCCCAUGAACAUUCCUGAAAGCUGCAUCAUAGGUCAAAGAGGAUGACCUUUCCAGAAUAGAGGAGGAGUGGUCUUCCGUCAAGGAUAUACAUAUCAGAAGCUGCACUUCCCCACUAGAAUAUCCAAACAAGCUCUCCAAAGGGCAAAUGCCACAUAUUGCCUCUCAUGUGCAUAUCCUAUUUCAACUUUUAGAUUUGUAUGUAAGUUGCAAUA